rnacentral:tRNA from 1 species
UUAAUAGAAGCCAAAACCCCCGAGGCCAUUCACUGUUAAUGAAUGAAUUGAUCUAUUCCUAUUAAA